AAGGGAGACCUAAUUCGGGUAUAAGACGAAAAAAGAGUAGUCGAAACCGAGAAUCAAUCCCAAAAGGUCGGAACGAGGUAUGUGGCUUUCAAACUAGGUUCUGGGUUCACACAAGACCUGAAUCAGGAACAAGGGCUAUUAGCUCAGGUGGUUAGGGCGCACCCCUGAUAAGGGUGAGGUCCCUGGUUCGAGUCCAGGAUGGCCCACCUGCACAGGUGGCAAAAACAAAGAAGCGAGGAAUCAGCACCUUAUCUUAUCUAUAUAUAAGAGAGAAUGCUGGCUCUGAGUAAAGAGUCCAGAGGAACCUUGAAAACUGCAUAGAGCUAGGUGAAAAAGCCAAAAAAGAAGACCGCAA
rnacentral:tRNA from 1 species